rnacentral:rRNA from 1 species
UACGUAGGUGGCGAGCGUUGUCCGGAUUUACUGGGCGUAAAGAGAGCGUAGGCGGACUUUUAAGUGAGAUGUGAAAUACCCGGGCUCAACUUGGGUGCUGCAUUUCAAACUGGAAGUCUAGAGUGCAGGAGAGGAGAAUGGAAUUCCUAGUGUAGCGGUGAAAUGCGUAGAGAUAUGGAGGAACACCAGUGGCGAAGGCGGCUUCCUGGUCUGUAACUGACACUGAGGCACGAAAGCGUGGGGAGCAAACAGGAUUAGAUA